rnacentral:sRNA from 1 species
AAAAAUUAACAUUAUUAAAAGAGGGUAUAUUUGUCAUUUGUUUUUUGGACUAAAUCAUCUUCAUCCAAAUGGUUCUACCAAAUCCAUCCAAAUGAGUUUCACAUAUUAGUCUAAAUUUACAAAGUCAUUCAGAUGAAACAUCCAAAUGAUCUGUUAAUUUGUGAAAAACAAACAUCAUUUUUCAUCUUCAUCCAGAUGAUCCAUUUGGAUGGAGAAACAAACAGGACCUAACUAGAUUAUACAAAGUCUCAUUUGUCAACUAACUCAUAGUUUUUUUUGGUUAUUUAUUUGUUUUAUAAUCCU